rnacentral:rRNA from 1 species
GUACACUCCUACGGGAGGCAGCAGUGGGGAAUAUUGGACAAUGGGCGCAAGCCUGAUCCAGCCAUGCCGCGUGAGUGAUGAAGGCCCUAGGGUUGUAAAGCUCUUUCACCGGUGAAGAUAAUGACGGUAACCGGAGAAGAAGCCCCGGCUAACUUCGUGCCAGCAGCCGCGGUAAUACGAAGGGGGCUAGCGUUGUUCGGAUUUACUGGGCGUAAAGCGCACGUAGGCGGACUAUUAAGUCAGGGGUGAAAUCCCGGGGCUCAACCCCGGAACUGCCUUUGAUACUGGUAGUCUUGAGUUCGAGAGAGGUGAGUGGAAUUCCGAGUGUAGAGGUGAAAUUCGUAGAUAUUCGGAGGAACACCAGUGGCGAAGGCGGCUCACUGGCUCGAUACUGACGCUGAGGUGCGAAAGCGUGGGGAGCAAACAGGAUUAGAUACCCGAGUAGUCCCAUG